UGCUGCUCAUGUUGCUGAUUUAAAGAUGGACACACCAUCGUUGGCGGCAUUCAGGGAACGCUACUCAGCUUUCCCCAUCCUCAGCCCGGAGGAUGGUGAUGAUAUUAUUUAUCUCAAAUCUAUGGUGGAACCCAGUGAUGGGGAUGGAUGGGUGGCUGCUAUUGACAUAGGAAACAAGGAACUCAAAGCAAUUGGGCAGUAUUAUCUUCCGGAUGAUUUUUAUUACCACCGUCGCUAUGACCCUGAACACCCUUUCCGUGCCUCUACAUUGUCCCGCCAUCUGGAUAUCAUUCCAGGCGUUGAAGUCUCGGCGUGUUGCAAGAUCCCAGAGGCUAGCAGCUCUGCAAAUCAUCCAAGCAACACCUCAAUCCGUGUCAGUGAGGCCAGUUCCUGCAAACCAAGGAGCAAAAUCCAAAGGCUAUCAGAAAUCUCUGAGGAACUCAAGCGUAUACGAGAUCAUCAGAAGAGUAUACAGAAUCAUCAUAUUUGCCAGGUUCAUCCUGUUAAAAACUAUCUGCCACAACAGCAAAAGUGGGGUGCGACCCCUGUGUAUCCAUUGUGUCCCCAGGACAACAAUCAGGUAUGUGCCGCCCCUGUGUAUCCAUCGCAACUCCAUGGAAACAGUCUGGUAUGUGUGCCCCCUGUGUAUCCAUCGCGGCUCCAUGAAAACAAUCAGGCAUCCCAGACAUGUUUGAACAACUACCAUGGGUAUCCACAACAACUUUCUGCCCAUAGCCCAUUUGCAUAUGGCGCAUACACAGGCUAUGGAAACUACCAAGAGCAGUGGCCUAGUGGUACAUCUUGGCAGCAAUCACCAGCGUCAGCAAACACCUUGAGGACGAGAUUUGAUGGCUAACCUAAGAUGAGGCCCAUGGUGUAAGCUUUCUGUGUGGGUUUUUUUUCAACCUGAAGGAACAGGCAUCUUCUGAGCUUUACUUCAUGAGAAACGGGAGCAACACCUUCCUCUUCAGGGGAGGACGAUGAGCAAGAGUUCAGGAUGGUGGCGACGUAGAAGACGACCAAGGUCUAGGAGGAGCAGUCGCCCUGCGGCGGCGCGCUGUCGAGGAGGAGCCACUCAACGGAGCAGCGUUGUAGCAGGUGAGCGCAUGGAGCAGCGGAGCAUGGACGAGGCUGAGGAGCAGCGGCGAAGGCGAG